rnacentral:misc_RNA from 1 species
CCUGUAGGGGCUUCGGCUCUGAAGAUACCACCCUUUGCUUUUUCGUACCCUUGUUUCCUCGGCGGCUCCGGCCGCCAAUGGGGCCUUUUACACCUUUUUUUAAGCAGUCUUGUCUGAUAUAAACACAAUAAUCA